rnacentral:tRNA from 1 species
GGGGGUAUGGUUCAGGGGUAGAGCAUUUGACUGCAGAUCAAGAGGUUCCCCGGUUCAAAUCUGGGUGCCCCUU